rnacentral:rRNA from 1 species
UACGUAGGUGGCAAGCGUUGUCCGGAGUUAUUGGGCGUAAAGCGCGCGCAGGCGGUGCGGUAAGUCUCUGGUGAAAGCGCUCGGCUUAACUGGGCGAGGGCCGGGGAGACUGCCACGCUGGAGGGGAGCAGAGGCGAGUGGAAUUCCGGGUGUAGUGGUGAAAUGCGUAGAGAUCCGGAGGAACACCAGCGGCGAAGGCGGCUCGCUGGGCUCUACCUGACGCUGAGGCGCGAAAGCGUGGGGAGCGAACCGG